rnacentral:misc_RNA from 1 species
AAGGAUCAUUAUUGAUUUUCAAAGGAUGUGCUGGCUUGAUUUUCUUUUGGAAAUAGAGCAACCGUGCACUCCGAAAAACAUCCUCAUCCUCCUGUGCAUCCUCUGUAGAUAAGGACUUGUUUAGCCCUUUGUCUACGUUUAAAAACACUGUGAUUAUUAUAAUGUUCUGCCAUAUAACUUUAAAACAACUUUCAACAACGGAUCUCUUGGUUCUC